CAAAAUGUAGCUUAACUAAAGCAUCCCGCUUACACCGAGAAAAUAUAUGUCAAAACCAAAUCAUCUUGA
rnacentral:tRNA from 1 species